rnacentral:rRNA from 1 species
GACAGAGGGGGCAAGCGUUGUCCGGAAUUACUGGGCGUAAAGCGCACGCAGGCGGCGGGGUGGGUGCGGUGUGAAAGCGGGCGGCUCAACCGCCCGAGGCCAUCGCAAACUGCCUCGCUUGAGCCAUUCAGAGGUCCCUCGAAUUGCCGGUGUAGUGGUGAAAUGCGUAGAGAUCGGCAGGAAGACCCACGGGGAAGCCAGGGGACUGGGAAUGUGCUGACGCUCAGGUGCGAAAGCGUGGGGAGCGAACCGG